CAAUAGCGUAUAUUAAAGUUGUUGCAGUUAAAAAGCUCGUAGUUGGAUUUGUGGCGUACGGUGUGUUUCGGGCACUUGUUGUCUGAGUAACCUGCUGUUGCCAUCCUUGGGUGGAACCUGUGUGGCAUUAGGUUGUCGUGCAGGGGAUGCCCAUCAUUUACUGUGAAAAAAUUAGAGUGUUCAAAGCAGGCUUAUGCCGUUGAAUAUAUUAGCAUGGAAUAAUGAGAUAGGACUUUUUUGCUAUUUUGUUGGUUUGCGCAAAGAGGUAAUGAUUAAUAGGGACAGUUGGGGGUAUUCGUAUUCCAUUGUCAGAGGUGAAAUUCUUGGAUUUUUGGAAGACGAACUACUGCGAAAGCAUUUACCAAGGAUGUUUUCAUUAA
rnacentral:rRNA from 1 species